CUAAUUUCAGUUUGGUUAUCACAUAGCGUUCAUUUCCCUAAGGGAGGAGAAAAAAUUAAAUUUGUAAGCUUAAGAUUCCAGCUGAAGUACUCAAGAAUCCUGUUUCUCUGACAGAGGAAACGAACAACAACUUGACUGGACACAUCCUAACCCAACCAUACGCUGUGUUACUUCCUCCACUGCGCCACACACAGCUAUUAUUCUAAGCUUUCUUAUUCAAACCCUUAAGGAUUUGUAAGAACUUGGAAAGAGAAAGUGACUUCAGACAGUUGCUGAGAACGCUAAGAAGAUGGGCAGAAAACAAAGCUUCCUGGUGUGAGGUUGUGGUAGAAGAUUCCUGGUUGAUCAAUGUAUAGAAGAUGAAAUGGAUUCCAGUUGUGGGAAGGAAGAAGUAAUGCAGUCAGAAGUCCUGAAUUGUCUUGAAUUAUAUGUAGAAGCUAGCCAGACAGUAAAAGUGGGGAGGGGACAUUUCAGAGCAAAGGGACAGAUUGUCAAAAAUUAUAGUUUUGUGUUGUUUUAUUUUACUGUGGAACUAUAAGCUGUUUGAUUUGGUUGGAUCAUACAGUAGAACAAUUAUGUAACAACCGUUCACUGGGAUGUCCAAAAGGCAUUCUCUCAGACUUGUUUUAGAUCCUUUAUGAUUAGAGAAUAUAACUCUCUUAAGAUUCCUUGAGUUUUCAACAACCUUACUCUGCUACUUUUGUGAGGCAUGCAUUUUUAUCCUGGGUGUAAUUUUGGAUAAAAUAUUGCAUUUUUUUCUGUCUUAGACCAAGCAUAUAUAAAUAGGGAAAAUACAAUACUUUAUUCGUAGGCUCGUUGGAGCAUAUAUGAGAUUAUGUCUUAAAGUGUGCUCUGUAACCUGGAAAAGGCAAUAUAAAAGUUACUUAUUAAACUGAUGAAAUCUCUGCCAUGUCUUCUAUUUUGUGCCAUAUAAAAAUUUAAAUCUUUAAAACAUGAUAUUCAACAAAUGUAAACCAUUUAUAUCACUCACUAUAUACAACUAUUUUUUCAAAUGAUUCAACUCAAUAAAAGUGAUUAUCUUUAAGAAAAGUCUUAAAGCACAGAUGCCAACUAUAUGGCAUAUGUGACUUAAUUCCCUACUUGUGCUCUCAAAGACAACAUCACUAAUUGAUAACAACACUUUUCCUCCUUGUCUGGAUGGAGUCUCAAAAUUCUUCUCAAAAUUCUAAGCAGCCAAAACCAAUAGGGAAGAGUUGGCUCUUGAAAUCUAUUAUUAUUUCCCUUAGCCAAAUGAAAUUUUGAUGGGAUUAUAGCCAGAAGAGGGAAGAGGGUAUUUGUCUCCCCUGCAAGCCAUCAUUGUAAACAACUUUGUUAUUCAGUAAAGGAAAAAAAGUAUUGUGAGGUGUUUUCUUAGCAAAGCAACAAGAUACACACUUUUUCAAAAAUGGGUUUUUUUAAAAAAUCUGAUUAUUGAUUGGUUAAUUUCCUCCAAAAUUCAACAUGGUUUCAUAUCAAUUGUGCUAGUUUUAAAGUGAUGACUAUGAAAUGAAUAGGUUUGUGCCAAAUAAUAAAUACAAAUUCUAGUAAAAAUAUCCCUAAGCAGAUCAGAACAAUUUUCUGAAUGAAGUCUAAACUAUAGGCAGAUACAUUAACAUGCUAUAACCAUGUACACACACACACACACACACACACACACACACACACUCUUACCGAGUCAUUGUCAGAUACUAUUUUCAUGCAUCAUUUUGAUGCUGCUUAAUGCAGGAUAUAUUGAAGAGCUAUUAUCUAGUCUUUUCAAAAGUACCCAGUAAAUAACGUGCCCAAUUUCACUUUUUCAAGGAUAAAAAACUGGGGACGUUGAGACAUAUAGUGGUUGUCUUUUGAGUGUGUUGCAAUAUAAACAAAAAUCCUUUUUAAAUUGGUCAGUACUUAUUAACUGAUAUACUCAGAGGGAUGAGCGGUGCCAGGGAAAUAAGACACAGCACAAGGAAGAAAGGUGUUUGCUUCCGCAGAAGUUUUGCUACAGAGGAGCUAACAAUAAGGAUAAGACCUAAAUAGAUAUUUUUACUCAUUCUAACUUGGGGCUUACCCUCCAGUGGACCAGCACAAAUGUGCCCAGUGAGCCACAAGAUACUCCGUCAGUCCCUCUGUCCACUGAGACCUGGGAUUGUGGGAUUUUUUUUUUUCUCUCUUCAUCAGGAAGGUUCAUCUCAUUUUGCUCUGCCUCCUGAAGAAUCAUUACUUUUGCUGAUCCAGGUGACAGAAUUAUGGCACAAAGGUAUAAGGAAGUGGAUUGUUUUAAGAUCAAAGUAAAACAAAAAAAAAUUCUACUUACUGCCACCUUGUGUGUGAAUGUAAGUUUGCCAAGAAGCUAUAUUUGUAUGACUGUGUGGGUGAAAAGGGCUGUUCUAUCUGCAUUUCAACCAAUAUAUAAUAUAACACUGGCUUCAGAUACAUUCUAUAAUGAAGAGCACAUUUGAGAUUUCUCUUCAUCUGUGGCCCAAUAAGUGGAUACACUUGCUCCAGUGACCUAAUUCUUUCAGUUUUAUUCAUUUAAUAUAUGCAGGCCAGAGAGCUAGAGACCCAGCCCAGCAAGAUGCCAGUUUUUCUUGGACUAGAUGAUAGGAGCAAGACAGAGGACUGAUAACCCUGCACACUCAGACGUCCUGGGGGGAGAUGUCAGAUCAGAUCAGAUCAGAUCGAAAAGGCAACCUGAUAGAAAUAGAAGAGAAAAAUAUUCUUAUUCCAAUCUCUGUCAAGCAUUCAUCAGUUCUUUCAAUUCUUUGUAGCCAGUAUACUGAUGAAAGUCACAUGUAGCCAUUUCUUUCUUUAAAGUAUGUAAAUAAAGAAUGAGUAGGGUUGGGCUUUUGAAGAAAUUUUAUAGAGACAUUAUUCCAUGAUUUGGGGAUGUAAAUUUAACUCUACUUAGACAUUUCCCCAUGGUAACAAAAGAGGAAGUAGUAGGAACAUUGAAAGUUAAACAUUUGAGCAUCAGAAUUGGACAGAGAGACUUAAUCAAGUCCUAUCUCUUCUACUCACUAGUUACGUAGUUCUAAAUUCUUAGUCUAGCAAAAGUCACUAGCACCACUGGAAAAGAAAGUGAGACAAUGCUUGCAAUGUGUUAUGUUUCUGUAUGAAUACAUUUUCUGCAACUAUCUUACGAAUAAUACAUUUAGAACAUUUAUCUUUUAAGCAUUCAAUCAACCAAACACACUCUCAACACCCUUCCCCACCUCCCCCCUCCACACACAUAUUGAGUGUCUACUGUGAUCCAUGCACAGGAACAUAAAAAUUGAAAAAAAAAAUUAUCACAUUCUCAGACAUCUAAACUUAAAGGUUUUCACUUACUUAUCAAGACUUUUACAAUGCCAGCAGCUUGCCUUCAAUGGAUAAAGUGUAAUGCAUAUAACAAUGGCACAAGGCAUUGACACGACGACAAUUAGGCAACCUAGAGCUUCUCAACAAACAACCAGCAGAGAGUCUAGUGUUCAAGGAGAAAGUAAGUUUUCUAGGUGUCAGCUUCUUGAGGCUGUUGCUCCAAAGGAGGUCAUUGCCCAGAGUAAUGAGAACAGUUGGGAAUCUCUCCCAUUCUCUAUUGCCUGAAGGUCAACAGCCAUCUGGUCUAACCCAUGCUGGCUUUCCAAUUGAGAGUGAAAACAGAUUUUCUAUCAUGUCCAAGAACAAAGGGCAUGGCUGAAUCGUGGAAAAUGUAGAUGACACAGUUGCCUUCAUCCAUACAGAAUGUGUAUCUCAAUUUUCUGAAAAUGCAUUCUUGGGCAAAGUAUCCUAUGAUUAAAAGGCACAAGUAUAAGGGACAUCAGAAAGAAGGGAAAGAUGAGCUAUGCACUGGAAUCCUCUUGGAAUGAUAAGGCGAUUACAAAAAUGAGAAGUUCUUCAUUGGGUAAUAAAUCAAAGUGCUAUCUUUCAAACAUAGAGAAUAAAUUCACCAAUCAAUGAGUGUCCUACCCUUUGCAAAUAAUAAAACAGAAGUUAUACACUUUAGUACUGUGUACUCUGAACCUUUUCUCUGCAUUUUCCUAAAAGAAAGCUGACAUCCUGAUCAGGGCACUGACCAACAGAUUAAAAUCACUGACUAUGAGUGUCCUUUUAUUUUCUUGGCAGGCCACUGCUGAUCCAGCAGUAAACUGUCUUUUCCCCUUUCCCAGACACUGGUUAAUAAAUAUCACCUGGUGAUAAAACUGUCCAAUUUUCUUAUAACAAAAACUACAAACAUGAGAAGAAAAUGCUGAGCUUGGGUAGGAUAUCUUAUCUCUGUUAAAUAUUACAGAUACAUUACAAGGUCCUGUGCACUUGGUAAAAUGUUUAAAAUAAAUACCCAAGUGCCAAAUAUCUUGUUCUUUCCAAUUUAUUUGAGGGAUAUUAAAUAUGUUACAAUUAAUUUCAUAUUCCGUAUUAAGACAUUUCAUUUAUAUGCUCAAAACUACAGGGGUCUCUGUAACAGCCCUAAGUAAUUCCAUUUUGCAGUACAAGGGACAUUGUUAAUGUUCAAAGAUUAGAAAAUACACCCUCUUUGAUCUUUGCUAGUUAUUGAAAGACAGCGUUCAGAUACUAGGAAUGUAUUUUUCUUCGAAUAGUUGAUUUCUCCAAGAGGAAGAUGUGAUUAAAUAGAAUACACCAGACUUAAUAAGACAACAAAAGAACUGGCAAUUUCUUUUCAGCUUUCUUCAUUCUAGCAUCUAAAAGCUGUUUGCCUUGGGAUUUAGAAAUUGAGAGAACAAGUUGCUGACCCUAGAACUGAACAGCCACAUUAGUUAUUUUGGUGAUUCCAGUGUUGAAAUGGAACAUGUGCCAGAGGCAGGCACACUUUGCAGAGUGGGCAUUUUGUACAGUUUAUUUUAAUUGAUG